rnacentral:rRNA from 1 species
UACGGAGGGUGCAAGCGUUAUCCGGAUUCACUGGGUUUAAAGGGUGCGUAGGCGGGCAGGUAAGUCAGGGGUGAAAUCUUCGAGCUUAACUCGGAAACUGCCUUUGAUACUAUCUAUCUUGAAUAUUGUGGAGGUAAGCGGAAUAUGUCAUGUAGCGGUGAAAUGCUUAGAUAUGACAUAGAACACCUAUUGCGAAGGCAGCUUACUACGCAUAUAUUGACGCUGAGGCACGAAAGCGUGGGGAUCAAACAGG